rnacentral:tRNA from 1 species
UGGGGACUCGUCUAAUGGUAGGACAGUGGUCUCUGACACCAUAUGUGGGGGUUCGACUCCCUCGUCCCCAGCCA